UUGUUCAAAAUAUUUCUAGAAAUGAUGUAUAUUCAUACAUUCACCGUUUUCUUUACAAUUCAGUAUGCUUCUCUUGGUUUUCAAAGGACAAUGGGCUAGUUUCUUAAAGAAAAAAAAAUUAUGACAUUGAUGGAUUUCCAUAAACUUGAGAUUGAUCAGAUCAAUCGUAACUCUUUGUAAGACGGGCCCUGGUCUCCAUGUACUCAUUACUUUGUAAUGAUACAUUUUCCCAAAAAUUGUUUGGCAGAUAUCAUUUGUAGUUUAUAUAAAUCUGUGUAAAGUUUUGUUCAAUUCUGUGAACAUCUUAUUUUUUCUUGUUACAAGUACCAGAGUUUAUCUCUUUUUUUUUGUUUGCCUUACCUACGUGUACUUAACCACAAAUGUAGAAAUUCAGAUGAAUCGUGCAAUAUAGAUAAUUAUUUUUUUUGUAUAGCUUUGUAGGAUUGCAAAUUGUAUUCUAGCUUCUGGGCAAUUCCAUGAAAAAGUCAGUCUUUGAGUAUGUUCAGCCCUCAUUUUUGGGGUCAAUUUUACUGCACUUAUCGAACUGCUCCAGACAGAGUAAUUGAUAGCAUUGCAACUUAUUAAAUGAACCAGAAAACAUCGACAAAUUAUUUUAGGAUGGAAAGUUUGAUGUACAUGUUUUUAUGUAAUUACCCUUCUGUAAAAAGUUGUGUUGUAUUUUAUAAUCCAUGAUUAUUUUAUUUUAGUAUGCAGUAUGUUCUUUUGGGAUGAUGAGUGUACAGAGCUUUGUAAUAGGACGUCAAACCAGUAAAGUUGCCAAGGUUUUGCUGAUAAAAUAACAUCCAGCUUUAAAAAAAAAACAUUUUCUACUAUGUCCAAGUUGGAUUUAUUGGUUCUAAAAUAUCCUCAAAAGUUAUACCAUGGGUUUUAGGACAGCCAAUAGGCCAAAUCUAGAAGAAUUAUACUUUUUUUCAUAAAUAAUGUUAGAAGUGAUAUGAAAAAGAUCCAUAACAAGCUAGAUUUCCUGAAGGAGGGGAUGUUUAUUUACCAUAUUUGGCUUUUGUAGUAAGGUUACAUGUUUAACAAUAUUACAUGUUUAUUAUAAGUGCACAAAAGAUGAGUUCUAAUAUAGUCAACUCCUUUUGUUUCUACAAAUAUUUUGAUUCAUAAAUUCUUUUAUUUUAGUGUGUAGUUGCUCAAAUGACAAGAUAUGCAUUCUGAAAUAGCUUGAGAUCUUCAUAUAAUAUUCCAAUAGUACAUUUAAACAUUUACCUGUUAGCAAAGGGCCACCAUUUAAAGCUAACGUUGCAAGAUAUUUAAUAUUUAAUCAGUACAAGUUGAAAUCAAUGCAUGUUUCAUAUUUAUUUAUUGUCCCAUAUAUAUGUCUUUAAUAUGUACCUGGGAAACUAGACUGGUACCAUGUUAGUUGCUGUAAUGACAAAGUUACUAUAAUAGCCUUAGUAAUGGACAUACUGAAUCUUUUCGACAAGCAAUCAUUGGAGUAAAAUGGCAUGAAUGACUAGAACGCUAGAGCCUAACAAUAAUAGAACCGUAAGAGACAAAGUUACUAUAGUUGGAACUCUCUAUGACUCGGGCGUCAGGUUGUAAUUCACAUUUGUGUGUAUAAAAAGUGAGAGAUGGUGACUAUACGAGCGAUAGGGCAUCACCGUCUGUGGGUAUUGUAUAUCGAGGAGGCAGUGUAGUAAAUUUGCUUUUCCCUUUUAAACAAUCAUUCAUACAUGUAUACAGGGUGAUAAGAAAUACAUGAUAUCAGUGUAUGGCAUGCUUGUAAAAGCAAUUUUUAUGUAUUUCAUACAUAUGAUUUUUAAUUUAACUUGAAAAGUGAAGGGAAAAAAUGUCCAUUACUAGGUUAAAAUAACUAGUUUAGUGGUAUUACAUUUUUUUUGUUAGUCACAUGUCCUAAUUUCUCAAGCCAUAAUGUUCCAGCCAAACAACAACAAAAUGAAUAUUUUAUGCAUGGUUGUGGCUUGCAGGGCAAUGAAAUGGUUGAAUAUGUUUUUUAGUUAUUUUGUGUGGUGAUCAAUACAAGUGCAAUAUGGGUAUAAAGUUACUGUAUCAUCUCAUCAAUUAUUUUCAUCCAAAUUACCAAAUUGAUAUUGUGUAUUAACAGUCUCUCAUCAUUUAUCUAUCUUUUAUAUAUGUAUGCUCUAACUGUACAUAAACAUUGUAAUAUUGGAAUUGCUUUAUUGCAUUUUUUUGUCAAUCAAUUUUGUUGAUUGAACUUUUUAUUUGCCAGUGA
rnacentral:lncRNA from 1 species